rnacentral:lncRNA from 1 species
GUUUUCAACAUGUUAUUUAUUGCUGAUUGAAGAAAAAGAUGUAUAAUAAAUAGGGAUAUGUAUGUAAAGAAAUAAUUAAUAUAGUUGAAAAUAGAAAAGGAGUCUUAUAAAAAGGGAUAAAAAAAUUCUCAAAAUUGUCUUAUAAUUAUAAGGACGGAGGUAGUAGUUACUUUUAGUUUUUAUUAUAUCUAUAAGUAACAUGAUUCAAGGGAUGGGAAUCACAUUUGAAAGAAUGGGAACAUGAUGAGGGUUCCUGGUACCUGAUAGAUCUUUCAGGUUCUGCAGUAGCAUUUUUACUCUGAGGCAGAUCCUUUUGGUUUUUGUGUGACUUUGGCAUGAAUGUCUGCUUUUAUGAGGAGGUUGUGCUUUGUGUUAUUUAGGCUUUACUUGUCCAGCGUGGUUGCAAUCUUCAAUUUCUGGCCGAGCUUGAAGUUUUGUUUCGAAUUUUUAUCGGCUUAGUUAAGUCCGGUCUGCUGCUAUUGUGUGUCUUUAGUGGGUAUUGGAUGUUUUGUUUUUCGCUUUCUUGUUGCUAGUAGCAAGUGUUGGCCUUUUUGUGAGACUAGAAUGUAUGUCUUAGGUGUUGUUUUUUCUUGUGGGAGGCCAUGUUGUUCUAGUUUUAGUAGGUAGUUUAAUUCCUCUCUUUUCCUUAUUGGACUUCUCUAUUGUAAUCUCUUUUCCUUAAUAGGAACUGGUUCAUGAAAGAUAUUAAAACUUGCAUCUUGUUCUUACACUAGUUUUCUUAUAAGUUUAACAUUGGAUUAUACAUCACUGUACUUUUUAAUUAUCAUAUGUGAGC